CGGGGCGUAGCUCAGCCUGGAUAGAGUACUUGCUUGGGGUGCAAGGGGUCACGAGUUCAAAUCUCGUCGCCCCGA
rnacentral:tRNA from 1 species